rnacentral:rRNA from 1 species
AUGGAGCCGACCUUGAAAUACCACCCUUUAAUGUUUGAUGUUCUAACGUUGACCCGUAAUCCGGGUUGCGGACAGUGUCUGGUGGGUAGUUUGACUGGGGCGGUCUCCUCCUAAAGAGUAACGGAGGAGCACGAAGGUUGGCUAAUCCUGGUCGGACAUCAGGAGGUUAGUGCAAUGGCAUAAGCCAGCUUGACUGCGAGCGUGACGGCGCGAGCAGGUGCGAAAGCAGGUCAUAGUGAUCCGGUGGUUCUGAAUGGAAGGGCCAUCGCUCAACGGAUAAAAGGUACUCCGGGGAUAACAGGCUGAUACCGCCCAAGAGUUCAUAUCGACGGCGGUGUUUGGCACCUCGAUGUCGGCUCAUCACAUCCUGGGGCUGAAGUAGGUCCCAAGGGUAUGGCUGUUCGCCAUUUAAAGUGGUACGCGAGCUGGGUUUAGAACGUCGUGAGACAGUUCGGUCCCUAUCUGCCGUGGGCGCUGGAGAACUGAGGGGGGCUGCUCCUAGUACGAGAGGACCGGAGUGGACGCAUCACUGGUGUUCGGGUUGUCAUGCCAAUGGCACUGCCCGGUAGCUAAAUGCGGAAGAGAUAAGUGCUGAAAGCAUCUAAGCACGAAACUUGCCCCGAGAUGAGUUCUCCCUGACUCCUUGAGAGUCCUGAAGGAACGUUGAAGACGACGACGUUGAUAGGCCGGGUGUGUAAGCGCAGCGAUGCGUUGAGCUAACCGGUACUAAUGAACCGUGAGGCUUAACCUUACAACGCCGAAG